rnacentral:snRNA from 1 species
UCUGACAGAAAGAGCAGUGAGC